AGAUUGAACGCUGGCGGCAGGCCUAACACAUGCAAGUCGAGCGGUAGAGAGGUGCUUGCACCUCUUGAGAGCGGCGGACGGGUGAGUAAAGCCUAGGAAUCUGCCUGGUAGUGGGGGAUAACGCUCGGAAACGGACGCUAAUACCGCAUACGUCCUACGGGAGAAAGCAGGGGACCUUCGGGCCUUGCGCUAUCAGAUGAGCCUAGGUCGGAUUAGCUAGUUGGUGAGGUAAUGGCUCACCAAGGCGACGAUCCGUAACUGGUCUGAGAGGAUGAUCAGUCACACUGGAACUGAGACACGGUCCAGACUCCUACGGGAGCAGCAGUGGGGAAUAGUUGGACAAGUGGGGACGAAAAG
rnacentral:rRNA from 1 species